CCUACGGGGGGCUGCAGUAAGGAAUCUUCCACAAUGUACGAAAGUAUGAUGGAGCGACGCCGCGUGUAGGAUGAAGUCCUUCGGGAUGUAAACUACUGUCAGGGGUUAGAAAGUUCUGAUCAACCCCAGAGGAAGAGACGGCUAACUCUGUGCCAGCAGCCGCGGUAAUACAGAGGUCUCGAGCGUUAGGCGGAAUCACUGGGCUUAAAGCGUGUGUAGGUGGAUGGGUAAGUACCUUGUGAAAUCCCACGGCUCAACCGUGGAACUGCUGGGUAUACUGCCUGUCUUGAGUCACUCAGGGGCGAGCGGAACAGAUGGUGGAGCGGUGAAAUGCGUAGAUAUCAUCUGGAACGCCAAUGGUGAAGACAGCUCGCUGGGGGUGUACUGACACUGAGACACGAAAGCCAGGGGAGCAAACGGGAUUAGAUACCCCAGUAGUC
rnacentral:rRNA from 1 species